rnacentral:rRNA from 1 species
UGGGGAAUAUUGCACAAUGGGCGCAAGCCUGAUGCAGCCAUGCCGCGUGUGUGAAGAAGGCCUUCGGGUUGUAAAGCACUUUCAGCGAGGAGGAAGGUGGUGGACUUAAUACGUUCAUCAAUUGACGUUACUCGCAGAAGAAGCACCGGCUAACUCCGUGCCAGCAGCCGCGGUAAUACGGAGGGUGCAAGCGUUAAUCGGAAUUACUGGGCGUAAAGCGCACGCAGGCGGUUUGUUAAGUCAGAUGUGAAAUCCCCCGGGCUCAACCUGGGAACUGCAUUUGAAACUGGCAAGCUAGAGUCUCGUAGAGGGGGGUAGAAUUCCAGGUGUAGCGGUGAAAUGCGUAGAGAUCUGGAGGAAUACCGGUGGCGAAGGCGGCCCCCCUGGACGAAGACUGACGCUCAGGUGCGAAAGCGUGGGGAGCAAAACAGGAUUAGAUACCCUGGUAGUCCACGCUGUAAACGAUGUCGAUUUGGAGGUUGUGCCCUUGAGGCGUGGCUUCCGGAGCUAACGCGUUAAAUCGACCGCCUGGGAGUACGGCCGCAAGGUUAAAACUCAAAUGAA